rnacentral:rRNA from 1 species
GAUGAACGCUAGCGGCGUGCCUAAUACAUGCAAGUCGAGCGAACGGACGAGAAGCUUGCUUUUCUGAUGUUAGCGGCGGACGGGUGAGUAACACGUGGAUAACCUACCUAUAAGACUGGGAUAACUUCGGGAAACCGGAGCUAAUACCGGAUAAUAUUUUGAACCGCAUGGUUCAACAGUGAAAGACGGUCUUGCUGUCACUUAUAGAUGGAUCCGCGCUGCAUUAGCUAGUUGGUAAGGUAACGGCUUACCAAGGCAACGAUGCAUAGCCGACCUGAGAGGGUGAUCGGCCACACUGGAACUGAGACACGGUCCAGACUCCUACGGGAGGCAGCAGUAGGGAAUCUUCCGCAAUGGGCGAAAGCCUGACGGAGCAACGCCGCGUGAGUGAUGAAGGUCUUCGGAUCGUAAAACUCUGUUAGUAGGGAAGAACAGAUGUGUAAGUAACUGUGCACAUCUUGACGGUACCUAAUCAGAAAGCCACGGCUAACUACGUG